rnacentral:lncRNA from 1 species
UCUAUACUUCCAUCUCAAGAAAUUCUUUUUUUUCCGCAGGGGGUCGUGAUGUCUUUCUACGGAAUCGCAGGCCUAUUCAUUAGCUCCUACUUGUGGUGUACUAUUUUGUGGAAUGUAGGUAGUGGGUUCGCAAGAAUGAAACUCAAAGGAAUUGACGGGGGCCCGCACAAGCGGUGGAGCAUGUGGUUUAAUUCGAUGCAAAGCGAAGAACCUUACCAGGGCUUGACCAGUAUACAGAGAUAUAUCGAAAAGGAACUUGUAUCUGAUAUCUUUCUAGAGGCUAAUAAAUCUUUUUAUUUUUUAUAUGGCUAUGUUCUAUUUGUAGGAGUAAAAUAAGGAUUAGGCUGUGGAGAGAUGGCUGAGUGGUUGAUAGCUCCGGUCUUGAAAACCGGUAUAGUUCUAGGAACUAUCGAGGGUUCGAAUCCCUCUCUCUCCUUUUGCUUAUUGAAUACGUUUGUUUCUUUCAUUUUUUUCUGUCCCUUAUCUUUCUUUCAUAAAAAGGAAUGAAUGGCUCGGCUAGAAAAAAAUAACGAGCCACACACUAAGCAUAGCAAUUAUAUUAAAUGAUUUAUCAAUUUUCAUUAAAUCUUAUAGAAAGAGGUAUAAUUUCUUCUUUUGCAGGGAUUUCAGGAAAAAAGUCUCUUGUCAUUUUUUAACAAAUUCAAUAUAAAAAAACCAAACUUUUUCUAUUAUCUAUUAAUGUGUAUCUAUCCGUACCGUAAUAUUUUUGAAUAUUAUGAAUUAGAGAAAUUUACAACUCUACGAAUAGUUUUUUGAACUGCAUGUUGUAAACGACCAAGAGCCAAUCCGAAUUGAUCUUGUAACAGAUCUGCAACCGAACGAAUACGUUUAUUUUUCAAGUGAUUCAUAUCGUCAAUUGAUAAUACUAUAUUUUAUUAUUUUAUUAUUUUAUUUGUAUUUCUUUAUUGUAUUAUACCUUAAUAUAUAUAUUCUAGAUAUAUAGAAUAGACGAAUCUCGAUUUGUCAAGUCUCAUGAUCAUAUUUCCCGACAAACCGGUUACACUAAGACCCACGGAAACACGUAUGGGCUCGGGAAAGGGGUCCCCCGAAUAUUGGGUAUCCGUUGUUAAACCUGGUCGUAUACAAUGGAUCUACGAAAAGAUCGUGUAUUUACAACUACAACGGAAUAGUAUACAAAGUCAACACCAAUGAUUAAAUAGAAUUUAUGGCUGCACAAACCGUUGAAGAUAGUUCUAAACCUAGGCCAAAACGAACUGGUGCAGGUAGUUUACUGAAACCCUUGAAUUCGGAAUAUGGGAAAGUCGCCCCGGGUUGGGGGACUACUCCUUUUAUGGGGAUCGCAAUGGCAUUGGCACCUUUUCGAACACAACUGAUGCAUUCCAAAAUAACUCUGAUUCUAACAUCUUUUCCCUUGGCCAUGAACCUCCUUUUCUUUUUGGAUUGACUUAACUUAAUUCUUCUACUUAUUCUUUUAUUCUUCUAUUUUGAAUCCGAAGAAGAAGAAUAAAAUUCAUUAGAAUAAUUUUUUUUUCGGGAUGUAAUCCCAUGGAGAGGAAAAAGGGGUAUCUUGUAAAUUCAAGGGUAGGGCUUGCAUUCUGAUAAUACUGAAUCAAUUCAAUAUUAUGAAUAUCGGGUCUAUCAAAUCAAUUCAUGGAUGAGAGUUAUAUUUCACGGAUGAGAGUUGGGAACUCGUGGGAAUGUGUUCUUAUUUAUUGAUAGGCUUUUGGUUUACACGACCAAUCGCAGCGAGUGCUUGUCAAAAAGCUUUUGUAACUAAUCGUGUAGGGGAUUUUGGUCUAUUAUUAGGAAUUUUAGGUUUUUUUGGAUAACAGGUAGUUUAGAGUUUAGGGAUUUGUUCAAAAUAGCUAAUAACUGGAUUCCUAAUAAUGGAAUUAACUCUUUACUUACUACUUUGUGUGCUUUUUUAUUAUUCCUUGGUGCAGUUGCGAAAUCCGCACAAUUCCCUCUUCACGUAUGGUUACCCGAUGCUAUGGAAGGGCCCACUCCUAUUUCGGCUCAAAAGAGGAAAACAUCUUCCAUAAUUUCUUUUUUGUUCAAUUCUGGACAAAAAAGAAAAGGAAAAAGGAAUUUAUAGGGACAGUGUUACCCCCUAUAUCCCCUAGUUUAUAUUGUAGGAAUAAUAAAAUAAUUUAGCAGUCUGACACACUUACGUCCUUGCAAAGUAAAUAAUUAUUAUUGUAGUCGUAACCGUAGAAUAGGAUCCUAAUCAAAAUAAAUACAUUUGGUUCAGGCGCUAUUAGCAUGGUAAGAAAAGAUUUUUUUUUUACCCAAAGGUUUAGAAGACCUCUGUCCUAUCCAUUAGACAAUGGACGCUUUUCUUUCAUAUUUUAUUCUUUCUUUUAUUUUUUUCCUUCUUCCGAGAAAAAACUGUUAGACCAAAACUCUUUUAGGAAAUCAAAAAAUCCAGAUACAAAUGCAUGAUGACAAAAAGUUUGAGAGUAAGCAUUACAUAAUCUCCAAGAUUUUCUUUAAGGAAUAGAUUACCAGUUUUUCCUUACCACACGGAUCCACUAGGAUGGUUUUUUUUAUACCUAAAAAUGCAAAAAAGAAUUCUUGAAAAAAAUUGCAAGAAUUCUUUGUCAAGGUAAUCCUCCUUUGAAACACUUUGGUAUUGCUCCUAGAUAGAUCAUAAUACAAAAAAUCAAUCAGAGCACAGGGAGCCAUCUCAUUAUCUUUCCGUAAAGAAAAACUAUGGUGGACUAACUGAUCUUUAAAUCAGUUUAUGAAAGAGCCCAAUGCAAAAAAAUGCAUGUUGGGUCUUUGAAACAGUUCAAAUCAUUUCGAUAAUAAUCCGUUUGAUCUGUAUUCCGCUAUUCCGACGAAUAUUUUUUUAGUCUUACUUAUCUUUAUCUUAUCUUAUUUUCCUAGUUGUGCUAAGUAAUGUGCGCGGUACAAAGUUCUUGGUAGAGAACUUCUUUGAGUCAUCCUAUUUUUCUGUUCAUAUGAAGGAAAUUAAUAUGCGAUUUUCAAAAUAGGGGAAUCCAAAUGAAACCCUUUUUUGGCUCAGUCUAUCUGGAAUGCUUUUGUAUAAUUAGGAAUUAAUUUGUCCAAACACUAAUUGGUCGUGUAUUAGCAGACAAUAUAUAUCGGUUCACGAUGCAUUGCCGCGCGAAAUCAAGAUAUUGGAAUUGGAUUAGUCAAUCGAUUCAUAACUGCCUUUCGAGCACAACCAUUUCGAGCACAACCAAUAUAUAUUAGAACCCCCUUUACUUGCCGAAGCACUUCUUGGAUCUGUCAAUUAUGCUAUGGCCGGAGUCCUACUCAUAGUGAUCUGGUCGAAUUUGGAGAAGCCCCGACGGUUAAACAACUUAUUAGAAACGCAAGACAGCCAAUACGAAAUGCUCGAAAAACGGCCGCGCUUAAAGGAUGCCCUCAGCGUCGAGGAACAUGUGCUAGGGUGUAUGUGCGAUUCGUUCAGAUCAUGACUUCAAACAAAUAUUAAAAAAAUUGAAGUAUCCAUGAUUAGUACCAAUGAAUAGGAUAUAGCUUCUCUAUCCUAGAUUUCUAUGGAAUUUGACUGAAAUGCACGAUCUUCACAGGUAUCACUUUUCACGAUACCUAAAAGGUGGAAUAGCGAUUUUCGAACCAUUUCCUAUAAGAGAAUGGUUUCCAUUACUUUGAGAAAUGGAUUCUUAUGCCUGUUAUACCUCUAUUCUUUUUUCUAUUAGCCUUUGUUUGGCAAGCUGCUGUAAGUUUUCGAUGAAAUCUUUAGUACUCUGUAUGCCAAAUUGAAUGAUGUGUUCAUUCCAAAAAAAUUUAAAAAAGGGUAAAAGCUUUGUCGAAAUCCCUAUAAUGAGUAGCAUUUGCGGCUGCCGAAUAAACCAACUUUAAGAUGGGAUAAGAUGCUCGAUAAGGCCGCAAAUUGGGGGAAUUCGUGCCUACUCGGCAUUUCACGAGUUAUGAAAAUGCAAGAAAGGAUACUAAAUCUCGUCGUUAACUGAAUUCUGAAUAGAAUAAUUAAUUGGAAUUCCAAUUAAUCAUUGAAGAAAUUAAAAAGGGAUUAAAUAAAAAAAUCCAAGUCUUAAAUGAAAGGAUCUGGUUGGAAUCUUAAAGUGUGGUAGAAAGAACUACAUAUAGUUUUUUCUACGACACUUUAGAUUAUUUCUAUUAUAUUAUCUUUGAAUCUACAUAGAAUAGAUUAGUAGAUUGAAAUAGUUAAGUAGUCUAAUUCAAUUUCUUUUUUCAUUGCAUCCACUUAAUUCCAAUCAGGUCAAAAUAAAAAAAUCUAAGACAAUUCUUGACCAAAGAAUCCAUGGAAGGAAAGAAAAAUAAUAUUAAGAAUAGACUAUAGUAAAAAGUAAAAGUAAAUGGAAAAUGUGUGAUAUGCCGUGAAUAGUUCCGUGGAAGAAAGUCUAAUUUUCUUAUGGCGUAUAUCCGCCUGGGUCGACCUUCUAUGUCUGGGUCGACCGUUUCAUUUCAUUUUCUAUUAUAUUAGAGUUUUCCUUUUUUUAUUAUCUGUGAAUGAAUAUUCUAAUGGGAAUGGAAUUUCAUAAUACUGAAAGAGAAGAGCUAGCAAUUCAGAACGCAAAUUGCGUUUUAAUACGUCUCACUAUUCUAAUUUUUAGAAGAAAUGGCCCUAUUAAAGAAACUAGAAGAAUUAUGGAAAUGAGUUCAAACGGAAGAUAAAAAUCGGUUGCUAAAUGAAUUCCAAUUUGUUGAACAUUAUUUAUGAGACCCUGUUCUACUAUUUGGUUUGAUCUUGUAGUCCAAAGAAUUCCAUACCAUGACGUAUCUGGGAUAGUAGUCAUUAGCGAAAAAACAAUAGCUGUGUUCGGGGGGGGUUAUUGUCUAUCAUUGGCCUCUAUGGUAGAACCCGUCGGGGAGGCCUGAGAGGCGGUGGUUUACCCUGUGGCGGAUGUCAGCGGUUCGAGUCCGCUUAUCUCCAGCCCGUGAACUUAGCGGAUACUAUGAUAGCGAUAGCACCGAAUUUUGCCAAUUCGGCAGUUCGAUCUAUGAUUUCACAUUCAUGGGCGUUGAUAAGAUCCUUCCAUUUAGUAGCACCUUAGGAUGGCAUAGCCUUAACGUUAAUGGCGAGGUUCAAAAGAGGAAAGGCUUGCGGUGGAUACCUAGGCACCCAGAGACGAGGAAGGGCGUAGCAAGCGACGAAAUGCUUCGGGGAGUUGAAAAUAAGCAUAGAUCCGGAGAUUCCCAAAUAGGUCAUUACAAUGUAGCGGGUAUAGUUUAGUGGUAAAAGUGUGAUUCGUUCUAUAUAAUAACUGAAUUUGAAAUGAUAUACUUAAGGCAUCCUUAAGUUUUUUAUUUUUAUAUUCCGAUGAAAACUUUAGUUCUUAUAAAGGAUUAAAUCCUUUCUAUCUAUUCUGGUGUGGAUGGCAAGCAGGCCUAUAUUUCUUGGUUUCAAUAGGACUCCUUACGAGCGUUCUUUCUAUCUACUAUUAUCUAAAAAUAAUCAAGUUAUUAAUGACUGGACGAAACCAAGAAAUAACCCCUUAUGUGCGAAAUUAUAGAAGAUCCCCUUUAAGAUCAAACAAUUCCAUCGAAUUGAGUAUGACUGUAUGUGUGAUAGCAUCUACUAUACCAGGAAUAUCAAUGAACCCCAUUCUUGCGAAAAAUUGGAUCGGAUUUUGCAGUUCUUUUUUCUGCAGUACCUCGACGUGACAUGAGCGUGAAAGAGGUUCAAGAAUCCGUUUUCUUUUUAUAAGGGCUAAAAUCACUUAUUUUUUUGGCUUUUUGACCCCAUAUUGUAGGGUGGAUCUCGAAAGAUAGGAAAGAUCUCCCUCCAAGCCGUACAUACUAGAAAAAAGGGCUUUCUACAUAGGGAUCGUAAAAACAACGAUUUUUCCCUAUCAGCUGUAGGAAGGAAGGACACUUCACGAGAAUCAAAAAAUGUUGGUGGGCAUGUAUGGUUGGGUUUUAUUUGUGUAUUUGGCGGAAUUUGGCAUAUUUUAACCAAACCCUUCGCAUGGGCUCGCCGUGCAUUUGUAUGGUCUGGAGAAGCUUACUUGUCUUAUAGUUUAGCUGCUUUAUCUGUCUUUGGUUUUAUCGCUUGUUGUUUUGUAUGGUUCAAUAAUACAGCUUAUCCGAGUGAGUUUUAUGGACCCACCAGGCCAGAAGCUUCUCAAGCUCAAGCAUUUACUUUUCUAAUUAGAGACCAGCGUCUUGGAGCUAAUGUGGGAUCCGCUCAAGGACCCACAGGUUUAGGUAAAUAUCUAAUGCGUUCCCCAACUGGGGAGGUUAUCUUUGAAGGGAAAACUAUGCGUUUUUAGGACCUUCGUGCUCCAUGGUUAGAACCUCUAAGGGCCCCAACGGUUUGGGAUCUAUAAGCCAGGGCGGCGGUUUCAGGUUAUGUUCAAGGGUGUGGAGACUGAUCGCGUAGGUGACAAAGUCUUUGCCUGAUUUGGUGCGCAACCUCAGGGCUAGUGUCUGCGACUCUCUGUAUCGGUACUGACCCGUUUCCCUUAUUAGCUUAUAUCUUUCUUCUAAAUGAAAGGCAAACCGAUUACCUGGCCUAGAUAGCUAGUGCGCAUGCACCACUUAAUUAUCUUAUAUCGACCUUGCUGUAUAUAACGGCUAUUUCUAUAUAGAAUCUUCAUGUGGCCAGCCACAUACGAAGCUGCGGUUAUGGACCAUUCUUAUCCAUGCACACGCAUCAUUUUUUUUCUUCAUAGCUACAAUAAUUUAGUUCAUUAGACACCCUGCCGUCAAAUAAUACUAAAAAUGUUCACUAAAGUUAUUUUUUUUUGCGGCUUUACUAAAGUUAGUUAGCCACUAGUAGUGAUGGAUGAAACGAUCCCUUGCAUAUCGCGCGAUCUGAUCUUGUUGGCGAGUGAUGAUGAAUAUCAAUAGAAUCUUGGAAGAGACUUUUCGCGUUGAUUGGAGGGGCAUAUAUAAAUGGAGAAACCUUUUUCUUUUCU